UCUCUUCUCGAUUGACCAUUUUGCAGGGAGU
rnacentral:piRNA from 1 species